CUCUUUUAUAUAUAGUUACUACUAUAUAUAACAGUAUAAUGCAUAAUGUAUAUAUGUAUAUAUAUACAUGUAUAUACAUGUAUAUAUGUAUAUAUAAUGCAUAAUGUAUAUAGCAUAAUGGGCAGUGCUAAUAGAGAAUAUUUCCAUUGUUGGAGAAAAUGUCAUCAGUGAGGAAACUUGAAUGUAACAACAUUUAGUGUUGAGUAGCAGAUCACUGUAUGUAUUUUAUUUUUUAAAAAAGGUCUAGGUAGUUAAAUUAUCUUUAGAGCUAUCGGGUGGUGUUUAGCCCCUCAGUUGUGUCCGACUCUUUGUGACUCCAUGGUCUAUAGAUUUUCCAUCCAUUUAUUAGAGCUAUUUAAUAAAGAAAUAAAUUAAUUAAUAAUUAAUGAGUCAAAGUGUAUGACAUAGUCAGAUUGUUUUUUAGAGCAAGAAUUUAAAUUCAUCAAAAUCUCCCCCAUUAAAAAGUUAACCGGCCUUUUUUUUGGUAGGGAUAUAUAGACAAAUUUUAAUAAUAUAAGUCAUAUAUUGGGUGAUGGAUUAAAAAGUCUUCAUAAAAACAUUUUAAAAGUCUUCACCAGUUUAUGUCACACCAGAAAGUAAGUCAGUAGAUGAAAAGGAUACCUCUGUAGGAUUGACUGAUGAAAAUGUGACAGAAACCAAUGUUUCUGAUUAAUCUAGUAAUGUAGAACUAACUUCUAUUUUAAAAAUCCAAGUUUACGCUUUUCGUUCUUUAAAAAAAUCUGUUUUUUCUGUCUGAUUUGAACACUCCACAUUGAAUUCAGUUAUUGUCCAAUGAUGAGGAUGUUGGCUAUUACUUCUGUGAGUAAGGAGCAGUGUAAGUAACAAAAGUUUCUUUUCUUGGUUUGUAUGGUUUACUCAAGUGUGAUCACUGAAGUAGUUCAACAGGAUAAAAGGCUGUAUGCAUAAAACCAAAUCUAAGAACAGCAAGUAUGGCCAGUAGUGAGGAAGUGUUAAGGGCCAAGGAGGAGCAGAAUUAACACGUUUCAGUACCUCUGAGAUUCAUCUUAAAAAGAAAUGGAAGGCAUUCAAUUAACAUUUUCAAAACUGUUAUCUAUUCCAUAUUAUUUCUGCACCACAGUUGGUUUAAUAUUUCAGUAUUAUUAGAGACCCAGCUUAUUAAUUGUUUAGAGGAAGCUCUUAGAUGGGGCAACUUACUGUGUGUGUUCUAGAUGUAGGGUACCAUUGUGGUUUUUGGAUGGUCAUUACAUCAUGUUUAAAAUUGAUUGAAUUAAAUGUGUAUGAUCCAGUUAUGGCUCAUUUUUUGUGAUGGUCCUGAUAUGAUGCAAGGUUACACUUAAAUCUAGUCUGCAAACUCUGUCGGAAAUCAGCCUAGAGGCAAUUAUCAGACUUACGUCAAGGAUCCUGUUCCGGGAGUUUGUGACUCAUGGGAUAAUGGAGGUAUAAAUUAACAAAGGAAAAGAGUGCUAAGCCUGGACCAGUGAUGAGAUUGGAGGGUGUCUGAAUCAAACAUUUUGGUUAAAGUGAUAUCUAACUCUGAGGUCCAUCAUUUACAAGUGGCCUUCUUUUUUUUUUUCCCCUUUAUGGAAAUGAGUAUACAGCAGAAGUUCAGAAUAUUCAGAUACCUGGAUCACAGACAUCUUCUGGAGAUAGAUUAAUUUUUACAAGUAAAUCAAUGCAUGAGUAAAUGAAGAAAUGUAAAGAUGGGUAAAUAUAAAGAAAGCUGGGCAUGGACCAGUUCUGUGAGUAUGUAACAAACAUGGAUUAUUAUUAUACAUUACUAUCACACUGAAUGGAGAGGGACAUGGCAACCCACUCCAGUAUUCUUGCCUAGAGAAUCCCAGGGGCAGAGGAGCCUGGUGGGCUGCCGUCCAUGGGGUCACAGAGAGUCAGACAUGACUGAGUGCCUAAGCACACAGCACUGAAUUUUAGUGAAAUAUGUUCAUAAAAUAUGACUCUUUUUUCAAAGAAGUAUGUAUGCAGAUGUAUAUAAGAUUCAGUAGUAUUGCUUGAUGUAGGUGGUUUCCUAGUUGGCUGUUUUUGUUUAGAGAAGGGGAAAAUUAUGUAAAUAAAUGCUGAUUGAGUAAUUAUUUAAUUGAGAAAUUAUUUAAUUGAGAAAAGGAUGAACAUAGCUCAUCUUCAGAAUGUGCCUUAUGAAAAUGGUUAUUGUUAAUCCAAGUCUUUUCACUGAGUUUUAUUAAAAACAAGAAAACCACGUAGUUUUUAAAUCUCUGUGGGUAUUGAAAUAGACAUAUGGAGAUAAUAAAUAUUAUUCACGUUUCUUAUCUAAUGUUAGUUAUUUCCUAGAUAUUGAUGUGUUCUUACAUAUAAAUGGAUGAAGUUUUAAUCACAGGCAAUAGUUUAAAAGGAGGCAAAUGUGGCUCAGUAAGAAAGAAGAAUAAUGACUCAUCUGUAUGUAUACCACUAAUUCUCUCUUCCUAGUUUAGAUAUGAACAUGUAGACAGGUACAUGAAGAUCAUUUCUAUUUUGGGUUCUUUCUAUUCUGGAUUUCUGUCAUUUUCUUUGUGUGUUUGUAUAUUUGAACAUAUGAUCACAUAUUCCAUGAAUAAUUCCAUACCUGAAUAAAUACAACAGUGAACAGUUGAAUUAAUGUGAGUAGGGUCAAACAUCAGAGAAGGCGGUGGCACCCCACUCCAGUACUCCUGCCUGGAAAAUCCCAUGGACGGGGGAGCCUGGUGGGCUGCCAUCUAUGGGGUUGCACAGAGUCGGACACGACUGAAGUGACUUAGCAGCAGCAGCAGCAGCAGCAGCAGGGUCAAGCAUAGACUUUGGUAAGAAUAUGCCAUGGAUGAUAAAUUUUAAAUUCACCCAUUUCUCUGCGAAUUGAGUCCAUUGAAAGGAUUUUCUAGGCUUUUACUUAUGUGGGUAGGGGUCUAUAGACAGGUAUGAGCAGUAGUAACAGUUUUUCUUUUUGAGUGAUGAACUCGACUGUCCUCAUUGGAGUAUUUGAAAGUAUUAGUUAAACCAAGUAAUAAGGAUAAGUGCUCUUCAUGGCUCAAAAAUAGAAAUGAGACUUGAGUCGACUUCAUAAUUAACCUAGUAUCACACAGCUAGUAUCCUUUCAAUCAGUCUACAUCUGGACUGUUCCUUCUUUUGAACAUUGGCAUUUGACCCCACAGAAUGAAGACUGUGGCUGCUUCAAUCAAUCUUCUCUGAGGAAGAUCUUGGCUGUUACCUUUGUGGAUUAGGAAGGUGGAAGAGAGCUGGAGUAAGAUGCAUAUGAAGCAGGGGUGUUCACUGAUCCAUACAUAGCUCAAUGAGGCCACUAGAAAAGAGGCUUCAUCUGUUGAGAAAGAUCCAGUGUAUGGGAAAAGAGCCUGCAUACAGAUCUUGGUCAUAUAUAAGGAUCUUGUUCUUGG
ensembl:lncRNA